UACAGAGGGGGCAAGCGUUGUUCGGAAUUACUGGGCGUAAAGGGCGCGUAGGCGGCCUUCUAAGUCGGACGUGAAAUCCCCGGGCUCAACCAGGGAACUGCGUCCGAUACUGGAAGGCUUGAAUCCGGGAGAGGGAUGCGGAAUUCCAGGUGUAGCGGUGAAAUGCGUAGAUAUCUGGAGGAACACCGGUGGCGAAGGCGGCAUCCUGGACCGGCAUUGACGCUGAGGCGCGAAAGCCAGGGGAGCAAACGGG
rnacentral:rRNA from 1 species